CAAUGUUUCAGUCUCCCUUAGGGGCUUUCUUCAGGAUAAACUGAUGAUCCUGAAGAAAGUCCUUAUGGGGGACUGAAACGAU